GACGAACGCUGGCGGCGUGCUUAACACAUGCAAGUCGAGCGGUAAGGCCCUUUCGGGGGUACGACGAGCGGCGAACGGGUGAGUAACACGUGGGUGACCUGCCCUCAGCUCUGGGAUAAGCCUGGGAAACUGGGUCUAAUACUGGAUAUGACUCCACGGUGCAUGUCGUGGGGUGGGAAAGCCUUGUGCGGCUGAGGAUGGGCCCGCGGCCUAUCAGCUUGUUGGUGGGGNGAUGGCCUACCAAGGCGACGACGGGGUAGCCGGCCUGAGAGGGCGGACCGGCCACACUGGGACUGAGACACGGCCCAGACUCCUACGGGAGGCAGCAGUGGGGAAUCUUGCGCAAUGGGCGAAAGCCUGACGCAGCGACGCCGCGUGAGGGAUGACGGCCU
rnacentral:rRNA from 1 species